rnacentral:lncRNA from 10 species
GAAUAGCUGCCGGUACUGAGACGGAUACAUUUUGUCUCUCUCAAUUGAACAACUCUGUUUUAUAGAAGAUGGGGAAACUCAGGCUAAGAAUUUGCCAAAGGCCAUGUAGCAGUCAGUGGAGGAGCUGGAACUAGAACCAGGUCUACUGGACUAAAAUUGCCACCACAGCACCAUCCUGCCUGGCUGGUUGCUGGCAGUCUUUCCUCUGAAGCAUCUUGGAUUGGGCUGGGAUGAGCAACAGCCAGCAUGGGGGCAGUGGCUGCCUCUCCUACCUUGUGUUGCAAUGAGGAGAGGAACGCUCCAUUCCCAAGAGGGAAGAAUAUCGGAAAGGCAGCUUCCAUCCUUUUCCCAGCCUCCCUAACUCUCUUUCCCGAGAGCGGAGGAAUGACUUAUAAGCAGCUUGGGAGAAGGAGCUGAGCUGGGGGCAUAGGGAAUCUGGCCCUUUCCUGGCCACUCUGAGCUGCUUGUCUACAGAGAGUGCCCGCUGCCCAGCUCCUGCGUCCUCCAUGGGGAAGGGCCAGCAUCCACCUUUGAGAAGCACACCUGGAGGCCCACCUCCUCCGCUCCCCACUCGCAGGCUCACCAAGGGAGGCAGCGAUCCUCCUGGCGGCUGGCAGAGACCGGGCCUGCAGCACAGACUGUUUCCUCGGAUGGGGUACCCUGAGGCCUUGAUAGGGUGAAGGCAUAUCAAGAAGUCUGACUGUGGUCAUGGAGCACUCAUGGGAAGAAGGGGUGUUACCAGCACUAGAAAAUCCGACAUCUUUUCUUUUCACCAUUCCUAGAGGUGUCCCCCAGGCCACAUGUGCAGCCUCAAACUUGGACUCCUGCAGUCUCUCUCCCAGGUCUUCUCACCUCUGCCCAAGCCAGCUCCUACGCCUGAUGUGGGCCCAUCUUCCUCCCCCACCGUCUCCCCUCCAGCUCAACAUAAGCUACCAAGGGGUCCCUCCCUGCUCAUCAGCCUUUCAGCUGUCACUUAACAGGGUGCUCCUGCCCAUUCUCCAAGUGCCUCCUCCAACAGGCAGACUUCCCUGGCCACCACCUCAUAUUCUGCCAGCUCUAAGACUCAUCAUCAGGACCCCUUGUUCCACUUUCACCUUAUUAUUGAUGUUUUCCAAGUGUGUGUCUUGUUUUCUCAACAAAUUACACACAGUAUAAUACCACCACCCAUACUGGCUGAGAUGUCCUGAGUUCUUGCUUACUCUGUGCCAGGCACAGGACAGCUUCUUCUCUGAGGAGGGAAAUGGUAUAAAAGACUAAGCAUAGGGCCCAGCACACAGUCAGUGCUCAAGCAGGGCAGGAGUUUCUCAGAUCUGCUCAAACACCACUGGCAGGUGGAUAAAUUGGUGUACUCUUUCUGGAAAGCCAUUUCCAUUAUGUAUUCAA